CCUACGGGGGGCUGCAGUCGAGAAUCUUCCCCAAUGGACGAAAGUCUGAGGGAGCGACGCCGCGUGCAGGAAGAAGCCCUUCGGGGUGUAAACUGCUUUUCUUUGGGACUAACUCUGAAUGUACCGAAGGAAUAAGGGGCUGCUAACUUCGUGCCAGCAGCAGCGGUAAUACGAAGGCCCCGAGCGUUAUCCGGAUUUAUUGGGCGUAAAGCGUUAAAAGGCUGUUCGGUAGGUCACUGGUUAAAUCUCACGGCUCAACCGUGAGGCCGCUGGUGAAACCGCCGGGCUUGAGGUCGGAAGAGGCAAGCGGAACUACCGGUGUAGUGGUAAAAUGCGUUAAUAUCGGUAGGAACACCGAAGGCGAAAGCAGCUUGCUGGUACGAUCCUGACGCUGAAUAACGAAAGCGUGGGGAGCGAAUGGGAUUAGAUACCCCUGUAGUC
rnacentral:rRNA from 1 species